CCUACGGGCGGCAGCAGUGGGGAAUAUUGGACAAUGGGCGCAAGCCUGAUCCAGCCACGCCGCGUGAGUGAUGAAGGCCUUCGGGUCGUAAAGCUCUGUGGGGAGGGACGAACCGCUGUCGGUUAAUACCCGGCAGCAUGACGGUACCUCCUUAGCAAGCACCGGCUAACUUCGUGCCAGCAGCCGCGGUAAUACGAAGGGUGCAAACGUUGCCGUGAAGUAUUCGGAGGAAAGCGAGCAAAGGGGAUGUGAAAGCCCUCGGCUUAACCAAGGAAGUGCAUCCAAAACUGCUGAGCUUGAGUAGUUAAGAGGAUCGCGGAAUUCCCGGUGUAGAGGUGAAAUUCGUAGAUAUCGGGAGGAACACCAGUGGCGAAGGCGGCGAUCUGGGAACAUACUGACGCUGAGGUGCGAAAGCGUGGGGAGCAAACAGGAUUAGAUACCCGAGUAGUC
rnacentral:rRNA from 1 species